AACCCAUGGUCAGGGUACCGUCUCAAUAAGUCCUUGUAUCUCUCUCAUGUGUCAUAAAUAGUUUCUAAAUCCAUCUAUACAAAAGAAGAGAUAUCAUUCCUCAAUUU
rfam:Gossypium arboreum cultivar AKA8401 contig_108102_1, whole genome shotgun sequence.